GCUCCCAUAGCUCAGUUGGUUAGAGCGUGGUGCUUAUAAGCUACUUUCAUAACUAGCUUACCUAUGAUAGUACACGAAAUGGCGAAGUUACGCUAAGGUCGUGGGUUCGACUCCCACUGGGAGCA